UGAGUAACACGUAUCCAACCUGCCGUCUACUCUUGGACAGCCUUCUGAAAGGAAGAUUAAUACAAGAUGGCAUCAUGAGUUCACAUGUUCACAUGAUUAAAGGUAUUCCGGUAGACGAUGGGGAUGCGUUCCAUUAGAUAGUAGGCGGGGUAACGGUCCACCUAGUCUUCGAUGGAUAGGGGUUCUGAGAGGAAGGUCCCCCACAUUGGAACUGAGACACGGUCCAA
rnacentral:rRNA from 1 species